GACGAACGCUGGCGGCGUGCUUAACACAUGCAAGUCGAACGGUGAUGCUCCAGCUUGCUGGAGUGGAUCAGUGGCGAACGGGUGAGUAACACGUGAGCAACCUGCCCCAGACUCUGGAAUAAGCGCUGGAAACGGCGUCUAAUACUGGAUACGAAACUGGCCCGCAUGGGCAUGGUUUGGAAAGUUUUUCGGUUUGGGAUGGGCUCGCGGCCUAUCAGCUUGUUGGUGAGGUAAUGGCUCACCAAGGCGACGACGGGUAGCCGGCCUGAGAGGGCGACCGGCCACACUGGGACUGAGACACGGCCCAGACUCCUACGGGAGGCAGCAGUGGGGAAUAUUGCACAGUGGGCGAAAGCCUGAUGCAGCGACGCCGCGUGAGGGAUGACGGCCUUCGGGUUGUAAACCUCUGUCAGCAGGGAAGAAGCGAAAGUGACGGUACCUGCAGAAGAAGCACCGGCUAACUACGUG
rnacentral:rRNA from 1 species